CGCCGCGCAGGCCGGGGAGUUCGACGUCCCCGGCGUCGCGGUGGGCGUCCUGAUCGACGGUCAGGAGUUCCACGCCUCACACGGCGU
rnacentral:tRNA from 1 species